rnacentral:lncRNA from 1 species
UUUCCAAAAGAGGUCGUCCUUGAAUAGAAAGGGAAUAUUGGGACACCAAGAGGUAAAUUUAUUUCUUGUCUUAAAGUAAAGAAGAUGAUGUCCAAAGGAUACAUAUGCCAUCUAGUGAGAGUGAAAAAUAUAAAUACGGAGCCACCAACUCUUCAAUCCAUUCCAGUGGUAAAUGAAUUUCCCGAUGUAUUUUCUGAAGAUCUUUCGGGUUUUCCCCCAGAAUGAGAAGUAAAGUUUGGUAUUGAUGUGAUUCCAAAUACUUAACCUAUCUCCAUCCCUGCAUAUAGAAUGGCUCCGACAGAAUUACGGGAGUUGAAAGAGCAAUUAAAAGACUUAUUAGAAAAAGGAUUCAUAAGGCCUAGUAUGUCCCAUGGGGGGCACCAGUUUUAUUUGUACGCAAGAAAGAUGGCUCGUUAAGAAUGUGUAUCGACUACCGGCAGUUGAAUAAGGUAACGAUUAAGAACAAAUAUUCCCUUCCUAGAAUUGAUGAUUUGUUUGAUCAGUUACAAGGUGCUAAGUGUUUUUCAAAGAUCGACUUGAGGUCGGAGUAUCACCAAGUAAGGGUCACAGACAAAGAUAUACCCAAGACAGCUUUCCGAACACGGUAUGGUCAUUUUGAGUUUUUAGUCAUGUUAUUCGGGCUAACAAAUGCACCAGCAGCUUUUAUGGAUAUGAUGAAUAGGGUGUUCAAGCCAUUUUUAGAUGUGUUCAUGAUAGUAUUCAUAGAUGACAUUUUGGUGUAUUCAAGAUCUGAAGAGAACCAUAGUAAUCACCUGCGACAGGUUUUACAAAUUCUUCGUGAUCGUAAGUUGUAUGCAAAGUUCUCUAAAUGUGAGUUCUAGUUGAAAUCUGUGGCAUUCUUACGUCAUAUUGUAUCCAAUGAAGGAAUAAGGGUUGAUAACCAGAAGAUAGAAGCCGUAGAAAAACUGGCCAAGACCUACAACGCCUACGGAGAUCCGUAGUUUUCUUGGUAUUGGCAGGUUAUUACAGAAGGUGCGUUGAAGGAUUCUCUUCCAUUGUUGCACCCUUAACAAAGCUAACACACAAAGAAACCAAGUUUCAGUGGAGUGAUGAAUGUGAAAGAAGCUUCCAAUAGCUGAAGAAUAAAUUAACUUCUACACAUAUAUUGGUACUUCCAGAAGGCAUGGAAGGUUAUGCAGUGUAUUGUGAUGCUUCGGGAGUGGGCUUAGGUUGUGUAUUGAUGUAGCAUUGUAAAAUAAUAGCUUAUGGCUCAAGGCAGCUGCGGCCACAUGAGAAGAAUUAUGCAACCCAUGAUCUAGAGUUAGCAGCAGUUGUGUUUGCUUUGAAGAUAUGACGCCACUACUUGUAUGGAGUUCAUGUUGACAUAUACACUGAUCACAAGAGUUUGCAAUAUAUAUUUAAGCAAAAGGACCUAAAUCUGAGGCAGCGAAGAUGGCUGGAGCUAUUAAAAGAUUAUGACAUUGAUAUUUUGUAUCAUCUUGAUAAAGCCAAUAUAGUAGCUGAUGCUUUAAGAUGUAAGAUAAUGGCAAGCACUUAUGGGCAGUCUAUGGAAAGACAAUGAAUAACUAAGGAUCUAUGCCAACUAGCUAGCUUGGGGGUUCACCUUCUUGAAUCUCCAGACGAAGGGGUUGUUGUGCAAAAUGUGGCAGAAUCCUCAUUAGUAGCGGAAGUGAAAGAGAAGCAGUACACUGAUCCUAUUCUAAUACAGCUUAAGGAGAAUGUACAACAGGGUAUGAUAAAGAAAUUUGAGCUUACGCAAGAGGGAGUACUUCGGUGUCAAAACAGAUUGUGUGUAUCUAACGUAGAUGAAUUGAGAAAGAGGAUUAUGAUGGAAUCACAUCAUUCGAGAUAUUCUGUCCAUCUGGGGUCAACAAAAAUGUAUCAUGACUUGAAAGAAAUGUAUUGGUUGGGGGGACAUGAAGAAGAAUAUUUAGAAAUUCAUGGCUCAAUGUUCAAAUUGUCAACAAGUAAAAGUAGAGCACCAAAAGCCCGAAGGUUAUAUGCAGUGUAUAGAACUUCCAAUUUGGAAGUGGGACAUGAUCAACAUGGAUUUUGUCAUUGGUUUGCCUCGCUUAUUUCAAAAGUUUUACUCCAUAUGGGUAAUAGUUGAUAGACUCACCAAAGCAACGCACUUCUUGUUGGUGAAAACUACUUAUACAGUUGAAGAGUAUGCAAGGUUGUAUAUUAAAGAGAUAGUUCGACUACAUGGAGUGCCAAUCUCUAUAAUAUCUGAUAGAGGAGUUUAAUUCACUAUAAAUUUUUGGAAGUCAUUUUAGAAGAGUUUUGGGAACACAAGUGAAUUUAAGUACAACCUUUCACCCCCAAAUAGAUGGUCAGGCAGAGCGUACCAAACACUUGAGGAUAUGCUGUGAGCUUGUGUAUUAGAUUUAAAGGGUAGCUGGGAUGAUCAUCUACCGCUUAUUGACUUCGCUUAUAACAAUAGCUACCAUUCAAGUAUUAAAAUGGCACCUUAUGAAGCUUUAUCUGGUAGAAAAUGUAGAUCCCCAGUUGGCUGGUUCGAAACAGGUGAAACUGCCUUAUUUGGGACAGACCUUGUUCAUCAAGCUAUGGAAAAAUUCAAAGUGAUACAGCAGUGGCUAGAAACAGCUCAAAGUCGACAUAAAUCAUAUGCGGAUGCUAGAAAGAGGGGACUAGAAUUUUCUAUAGGGGAUUGGGUGUUCUUGAAGGUGUCACCAAUGAAAGGGGUAAUGAGGUUUGGUAAAAGAGGAAAGUUGAGUCCACGUUAUAUAAGGCCAUAUAAGAUUAUCUGAAGAAUUGGCCAACUGGCGUAUGAGUUAGAGCUACCUCAAAAGCUUUCAACCGUUCAUCCGAUGUUUCACGUCUCAAUGCUACGAAAGUGUAUAGGUGACCCAUCUCGUAUUAAUCCUACUGAAGAUGUACAGGUUACGAAAGAUCUCACUUAUGAAGAAGUACCCAUUGUUGUUCUGGAUUGACAAGUAAAGAAGUUAAUAAAUAAAGAAGUAACUUCUGUAAAAGUCUUAUGGAGGAACCAACAAAUAGAAGAAGUUACAUGGGAAGCGGAAGAAGAAAUGAAAUUAAAGUAUCCUCAUCUCUUCUAGACCGAUGAGAAAGAUGAAAAUGUUGAGUUGAGGCGUUAACAAGUAAGUAUACGUCUAUAAGUUCAAUGUGAUUAAUAGUAGUACUAACUUAGGCUUAAACUUGUUUGGGCUGGAUAACCAUGCUAACAUUCGAGGACGAAUAUUUUAAGGGNNNNNNNNNNNNNNNNNNNNNNNNNNNNNNNNNNNNNNNNNNNNNNNNNNNNNNNNNNNNNNNNNNNNNNNNNNNNNNNNNNNNNNNNNNNNNNNNGACAUAGCCUUAUAGUAUAGGUGAGGGACCAUGUUUCUUAUAUGAUUAGUGUUGGUUUAAACUAUCUCGGAAGGUGAUGUGAUGCCUUGCAUGUUUCAGCAUGUGUACUAUAGGUUAUAACUCCAACGGAAGUAUUUAAACUCAAGACGGUAAGGUGGUAAUUGAGCUUAAAGUUGNNNNNNNNNNNNNNNNNNNNNNNNNNNNNGAUUAAUAUUUAGAAAAUGGAAUAAAAUAAGUGAGUUGCUUGCUUGACUUGACUAAGCUAGUAGGUGACAAGUAGGUGCAUCGUCUACUUUGACUAAUUAACCAGUCCAAAGUACCAAGUAGGUGCAUCACCUACUUGAGAUAUAUGAAUCUAGUUAAAAAGGCCAAGGUUUAUGGAUUAGAUUUGGGCCUAUGCCAGUGGACUCACUUGAGGCCCAAACUAAGUUAAUAAAUGAAAUGAAAUUAAAGCCCAGCAGCCAAAUUUGCCAAGGCCCAAUUUAUUUAAGCCCAAGUGAAAGCAAGUAGGUCCAUCACCUAGUUUGACCUUUUGACCUACUUGACCAAUUAGUGGCUGAAAAUAGACUAAAAAGGGAGGUUCUAAAUGAUAUUCUUAAAGGUGAAUAAAGCUCAAUAUAAGAUAUAUUGGCUGCUAUUUUUACUCAUUUUAACACACAAUAUUGACAAUUAACUCCAUCUCUCUCUCUCUCUCUCUCUCUCUCUCUCUUUUCUCUUAAGGAUUAAAACAACAUCCUUAAAGUUCCUUCUAGGGUUCUUAAAGAAACCCUAAUAUCUGCAAACCAAGGUAAGAGAAACACUUAUGGAUUUAGCUUAAUUCUCCCAUGGAAGACUAGAAAACAUGNNNNNNNNNNNNGUAGAAGGCAGAAGUUCCCACAAGCUACUGCUCACUUUCCUUAAUUAUUAAGAAACUUUUCUCUUCCUUUUUGGUUUAAGUGUGAAGAGAAUUUGAAGUUCUAGAGGAAUUCAAAGGUUAUAAGGAGAAAGUUGCAAAAAUUGAGGUAAGGUGACUGCUCUAUUUUCUUCCUCUUUAUGUAUGAGUUUGAGUGAGGAAUUAUGGGUGUGCUAUUAUAAAGAACUCAAGGGGGUGGUGAGUUCAAUAAUUGGUUGUAUGAUAAAGAAUAUUUGAGGUUGUUUUAUGUGUAUUGUUGUUGGUGCAACUUGGGUAAUCUUGGAAAAGGAUAUAUAAUGUAUGUAUUGGGCAAAUAAGGACGGUGUGGUAAUACACAUUAUUUUAAGGGUUGUAUGGGCUCAUUAUCCGUCAAAGUUAGCUACUGUUUUACGAGGCUCACGGUGUGAUAGCUGCUAAUUUUAGUUUAUCAUGACUUAUAUUGUAGAUUAAAACCUCAAAGGGGAGGCUGAAUUUUGAUAUUUAUAUUGGUCAGAGGAUAAGGUAUGUAAGGCUAUUCGAUUCAAUAUUCUUUCCCAUGAAAUAUGAUAAGUACCAUUAAUAUCAAUAAGUGAAUUUCCUAAGUUUUAUUCCUAGUAAAGGAAACAUAGUGGCAGCGUACGAUCUCCAAAUAGCUAACAAUAUUUCCCCUCUCUCCUUAGUGUAUAGAAUUACUUCAUUAUAUGUUCACUACUCUAUACUUGUGUAAUUAUCCAGCUCUGUGCUGGUAUAGAAAUGGUAUUUGCAAAAGCAAGUUUGGUGAAUCUUCCUCUUAGUCAGUUGAAGUCAAUUGUGUCAGUUAAGCUCACAAGUAAUGCAUUGAUGUUACAUAGCUCCUUAUGUCAUUGUUACUGCCUUGAAGUAUUAUUUUCAUGUCUUCUACUACUGGUCCGUAGUUCCAAAUAUAAAAAAUGAUUAUGAUUACCAAAACAGCAAUCUCAAAUAUUAAAUAAUCUAAAUGAAGCAAUCUGUAUAAUUAUGGGUGGCAGCCCAAGGGAAAAUGCCUAGCAUGGGUCGAUCCUAAUUGGUAUAUAAGGGUGGCAGCUCAUGGGUGAAACCGUAGCAUGGGCCGAUCCCAAUUUGUGGAAUUAUGACGACCACAUCCCAGGGGUUAAAAUGCCUAGCAUGGGUCAUCCUCUUCUACCACUGAUCAGCUGGUAUUUCGUAUCACAUGCCUUAUAAAGAUCAUAACACAUAGAAAGGUAAAGACAAGAAUGUGACAUCUAUGAUCCCACAAGACUUAACAAAGGUAGUCUUCUGUUUUGAUUUAUGCACACAUAUAUUGAUACUUGGUUUCAUUCGAACUCUUAUUUUAUAUAUGUUAUUGCUUACAUACUUAGUACAUUUUUUCGUAUUGACGUCCCUCGCGGGGGACGCUGCAUUUCAUGUUGUAGGCAUAUGUACUCCAGCUAGUAGACCUCCUCAAUAAGAGCACACGACACUCAGUUACUUUUGGUGAGCUCCAGGUUGAUUCCGAGCUUUACUGAGUCCUUGGUACAUUUUGGUAUUGUAUCGUAGUUAAGGGUAAGGCGGGGUCUGUCCCGACCUACUCUAAGGUUUUCUAGCUUUUAAAAGCUUUGUAGACUAAUGUAUAUGGUUCAAGUGUGUCUUAAUAAGUUGUGGCGUUAACGACCAAGUCUUGUAUAUAAGUUUUGGGUCUACUUAUGUGGGUUCUCUCAGGCCUUUAGGGUAUCGGGUGCCUGUCCGUGUUAAUGGGAUUUGAGGCAUGACAACCACAUUCCGACAUAACUAACUUGGAUCAAUUUUCACGUUCUGGCAUAAAAAUGGGAUCAGUUACCACGUUUCGGUAUACAUAUGGGAUCGAUUGCCACGUUCCGGCAUCCUAACUGUUUAGGUUUGGGUUCCGUGAGUAGACCAAUGAUUUGUGAUAAAUGUAUAUUGAUGAGAAUGUUGAUAUAUGUGCAUGUGAUUGUAAUGUUGUUUGACUUGUUUAUGUUGCACUAGUAAGAUAGUCGCGUGAUCCUACUAGUACAUUGUGGUUGGGUGCUGAUUCUGCACUUGCUCUAAUUUUUAUUGAGUACAGGGCAUCUUCACGUGACUACUGACAGACCUCGCUUAGAAGAUCAGUGAUUGUCGCUUCGAAUUCAAGGGUGAGCCAAUUCUUCCAGGCUGCCAUGGGAUUCUCUUUCGUCUAUGUCUAUCAUUUCCGAACUUAGAUAUUUGUUCUAAUUAGUUGAUUAGUUCAUCAGUUGGGGAUUUAUCGCUUCUUGUUUAGACUUGGAUCAUUUGUUUAGAUGUUUUGGUACAUUGACUUUCAGGUUCUAGGUAUUUAAUUUCCGCAUUUGUUAGUUAAUUAACUUGCUUCCAUAACUUAAUUGUCUUAGUAUUGUUUAAGUUGCUUAGUUUGGUUGUAGUAGUGGUUCUCCUACCGGAUGGUUAGUGUGGGUGCCAAUCACGACUGUCUGGGUCGUGACAAAGUUGGUAUCAGAGCCUAGGUUCAUUGAUCUCAAUGUACCGAAACGAGUCUAAUAGAGUCUUGCGGAACGAUACAUGGAUGCCUUUACUUUUAUUCUAGUGGCUACAGGACUUUAGGAAAUCUUUUUUUUUCCUCUUGUCUCCUUUCAUGUUAUGACUUGAUUCAAAUUGGUAUCUAACCUCCUUCACUCUUCUGCUCGCAGAUGGUUAAUACUAGGUAUAACAGUGUUAGGCUCGUAGCUCCUGCCAAUGCUUCAGCUGAUGAAUCUGUAGCAAAAGGUCGCGGUUGAGGUAGAGGAAGAGCUAGGGGCAAAGGCCGUGAAAGGGUAGCGCAUGCUAAAAAUGAGGUACAUGUUAAGAAUGUGCAUGUGAAUAAGGACCCUCAUACGCAUAAUGAGAAGAUAGAGGAGAAUGUGGAUGUCGAGGAUGUUCAAUAGAUUGGACAAGAGGAAGCGGUGCAGGAUGAAAAUGCAGGCGUUCCUCCUUUGGAUCCGGUGUUAGCUCAACAGAUCAUGUCCUUUUUGAAGGUGUUCGCUGGUCCUGGAGUGCUUCCAUCUGCCCAACCAACUCAAGCUCUCGCUAAUCCCCCUAUUGAUAGCACUGCCCCCAAGACAGGUGGAAUGGAAGGUAAUGAUGCUUUCUUCCGUCCUCUGUUGGGUUCUGUUAUGACUAGGAACGAGCAUGAUAUGUUGACUAAGUUUCUGAAGCUUAAGCCUCCGGUAUUUCUUGGUUUUGAGACUGAAGAUGCUUAUGAGUUUAUCUUAGACUGUUAUGAGAGGCCGCAUAAAUUGGGCAUUGUUCACCAACAUGGGGUUGAGUUCGUAUAUUUCCAACUUCAAGGUGAGGCCAAGCAGUGGUGGAGAGCUUAUAUGGAGUGCAGAUCCUCUACUUUACCUCCACUUACUUGGACCCAAUUUCAUAUUCUAUUUCUAGAAAAGUAUGUGCCCAGAACUUUGAGGGAUCGCAAGAAGGAUGAAUUUAUGGCUUUAGAGCAAUGUGGUAUGUCUGUGGCUGCUUAUGAGGCCAAGUUCCAUGUUUUAUCCAGUUAUGCUACGCAAUUGGUUACUACUGAAGAGGAGAGGAUCCAGUUGUUUAUUAGAGGUUUGAAUUCUGGUUGCAAGUAUUAACUGUUCAUAUGAAUUCUGCAGGAAGGAGUUUUAAUGAGGUGUAGACUAUGUUAAGAAAGUGGAGGGGGUGAGGCGAGACGGUCAAGCUAAGGCUUGGGCAAAAAGAACAAAGAAUUUCGAUAACUUUCAAGGCUCUUACUCUAAGGGGUCUGGAAGGCCAACACUUGCAGCCAAGCCAAUUCAGUCUGCUAUGCCCGCCUCUACAGGUAACUAUUCGGGAACCCCAUCUCAUAAUUUUUAGGAUAGUCAGAGUGUCGUUUCUUCGAUGGGCAGCAGACCAUUUUUUGAUCGUACCCAUCUCAUAAUUUUCAGGAUAGUCAGAGUGUCGUGCCUUCGACGGGCAGCAAACCAUCUUUUGAUCGUACUUGCUACAACUGUGGUGAACCUAGGCAUAUGAGGAGAGAUUGUCCCCAUCCACGUGUGUUAGAUUCCGCGCAACAGCAGUCUAGAGAAGUGGUACCCACGGGGAACGGUAAUAAUGGUAGAGGACGUCCACAAGGUGGGCGAGGAGGUAAUCAGCGAGGCCGUGGAGGUAGAGGAAAUGGUAAUGGUAAUGGAGGUAGGGGUAACGCGCAACCAGGCAGGGAAGUGACUGUUUACAUCCCUACUUUAUUCAAAUAGAGCGAAACGUCUUGUGAUUCAAAAAAUAAUCAAUUAAUUCAAUUUUAAAAGAAUUUUAAGAAUAAACGAAUUUUAAAUGAGUCGCCACCUAAUUUUAGGAAAAACUAGGAAACCAAUUAAAAAUGUCUACGAAACCAUUAGAUUCUAGGUAAGGGGUUCAAGUCAUUCUGAAGGAAAGGUGUUAGGCAGCUUUCAAAAUCCACAAUUGUGGGUCCCGACUAAAUUCAUUUUUUCAAAUUGAAAAGGAGAUAAAAAUAAAUAUACAAGUAUAAUAAACAAGUAAUUUACACAAAUAAUAAAAUAAACAAUAAUAAGAAACGACCUAAGCUUGCCUAGCGUCACUAAUAUACACAAUAAUAAAUAACAAUUAUAAUUCGAACUCCGUUUGAAUAGCUUUAAUGGGAAGCAACUCUGGGUACAUAUAAAGACACUUAGUAAAAGUGUUAGUACUAAAUAAAUAUGAAUAAAAAUAACCAAAUUAAAUAAUAACUAAAAAAUAAAAAUCCUUCUUAUUAACAUGGGAGGCCUUGGAAAGCGACGGUAAUUUCUUCAUCGGCCAAUUUUAACAUAGAAAAUAUAUAAACUUAAACUAAAUUUCCGUCUUUUAAUAUUGGGGAGGCCUCGAAAAUCGACGGAGAAAUUUUUUCAUUGGCUAAUUUAACAUUUACUACUAGAGAUCAAUUUAACAAAGAACCAAAAGAAACAAAAAAUAAUAAUUAAGAUAACAAAUAGUCUAAAUUGAUCCUAAAUGUGGUUCUAACAUUUUUAACAAAAGUUUUGCAAAUAUUUUCUAUUAAAUUAACGACAAAUUACAGUGAGCAAAGAGCAUGGACAUUCAUCAACAAUAAUAUAUUAAAAUAAUGAAGAUUCGAAGCAACAUUGAUAGCCACCAAAUGUAGGCAGCAACAAACAAAACUUAUAUAUCCACCGUAACAAAUAAUAAUAAUAAUAAUAAAAACGAUAAAAAGUAAUAAUAACUAAACAAUAAUAACAAUCAUAAUAAUAGAAUAAUAAUAAAAAGCAACAACAGUAAUAUAUACCAUUUAACAAAUAGUAAACUUUAACAUACGAUACAUUUAUCAAAUAAAACAAAACGAAACACAUAAGUGUACUCAUCCAAACAACAUAACAACAUAACAACAAUAAAAUUAGUCUAAUAAAAAAUAGAAUAUCAAAGGUGGUGAUUCCAUCAAAAAUCCAAAAUUUCUCGAAAUUAUAAAAAAUGAAUAACAUGAACCAUAAGAACCACAGUAUCACAAAACAAACAUAGAAAUAAUAUAAAAAGGAAGCAACACAGUCAUUAAAAAAAAAUAAAAAAAAAUACUAUAGCAUCCUAAAACAAAACCAAACAAAUUUGUAAGAAAUUAGAACUAAAAUAGGAAACAAUAGUGAUAUUAUUGGAGUUCCAAACCUCCGUUGGCAAUCCUAUUUUCGGAUUUCACCGGAACGAAGCUAUUGUUGUCAUUGUUGGUUGGAGUUUAUUGGAACUUGAAGCUCUAGUUCUCCGGAAUGUGCAGAUUUGAACACCUACAAAACAAACAAAAUAUCGCAAAAGGAGAAAGGGGAAGGGACUAGCGAUGUCUUGAGCCUGCUUUGCUCUGGUUCAUUGGAGUUUGAAACUCCUCACCGAAGUUGCUACUGGUGAGUCACGAGUUUAGCUCGCUUGAACUUGGAAAAGAGGAGAAAUGAGGUUUUGUUCGGGUUCUGGGGUUUUAGCCGGAGAUCUGGUUGUGAGCUUCAAGCUCGAUGGCUUGUUGGUUUCAGGCAGGUAUUUGGAUGUUGCCGGAGUGGCGUCUGGCGGUCGUUUUAAUUUCUGGUGGGUUUUUCGCCAAAAAAGAUGAAAAACGAGUGGGGUUUUGGGUGGCGGCUAUGAGAGCAUAUAGGAGGAGAGAAAGUUUAGGUUCUUCCCUUUAGAAAAAGUUCCUCCUAACCUAAAUAUUUUCCACCACCUUUAUUUUUUAACCUAAUCAAACUUAUAUAGGAAAUAAUUUUACAAUGAGCUCAAAGUGUGGGCUUGAGAUUAUGACCCGAAAUUAUUGAUUAAAUAAAAUAUCUUUGUAUAUAAUUAUUAUUCUAAUUUAACAGUAUUUCUAGACUGUGCUAAAAACGUCAAAAUUGAUAUUAAUAAAAGUAAUUAAUAAAAUGAAUAUUAAAAAAUGUAAUGAGCGUAACUCAUGAUGUGUAAAACAAUGCAAUAUAACAGAAAUAAUUAUUUAAUUAAAAUGAACAAAUAUUUGAACGUAUUCAACCGGCUGUGACAAAAAGUAAUGUAAUUAAAAUUAACUGAUAAAAACUCUAAACUUUUGAUAAAUAAGGAUAAAUAUUGAUAAACUUAUUUAAAAUUAUAAAAAGUGUAUUUUGAACUAUUGAAUUAAUAAAAGUUAAAAGUUAAGAAUCUUGAAAAUGUUAGGCCAAAUUUUGGUGUCAACAGUGGCUCGUCAAGAUGAUAGAGCUCAAUGUUAUACUUUCCCUGGCAAAAAUGAGGCGAAGGCGUCCGAUACGGUGAUCACAGGUACUAUUCUUGUCUGUGACUGGAUGGCUAAUGUAUUAUUCAAUCCGGGUUCUACUUAUUCGUAUGUAUCUGUGAGAUUUGCCUCUAAUUUUGAGAUGAUUUGUGAUAUACUUGAUGCCCCAAUUCGUGUUUCUACCCCUGUUGGAGAGUCAAUCAUAGUCACCCAUGUCUAUCGUGCUUGUCCUAUUGUGUUUAUGGGUUUUCAGACUUGGGCUGAUUUGGUGAUUUUGGAUAUGAUUGACUUUGACAUAAUCUUAGGCAGGACUUGGUUGUCCCCCUAUUACGCUGUGCUUAAUUGUAAUACUAAGUCUGUAACUCUAGAAAUUCUGGGAAGGGAAAAAUUAGAGUGGGAAGGGGUGUACAAGCCUAAGCAAGCUAAGAUUAUAUCCUCCAUUCGGGCUAGUAAAUUAGUAGAGCAGGGUUGUUUGGCUUAUUUGGCUCAUGUUAGGGAUGUUGAGAUUGAGGCUCCAUCCAUUGGGUCUAUUCCUAUGGUGUCUAAAUUUAGUGAAGUGUUUCCUAAUGACUUGCCUGGUAUGCCUCCGAAUAGAGAUAUAUUUUUGCAUUGAUUUGGAGCCUGGUACUCGCCCCAUUUCUAUCCCUCCAUAUUGUAUGGCUCUGACAGAAUUAAGAGAGCUUAAGGCUCAAAUCCAAGAGCUCCUUGAUAAGGGAUUUAUUCGCCCUAGUGCUUCCCCAUGGGGUGCUCUAAUUUUGUUUGUUAAGAAGAAGGAUGGUAGUAUGAGAAUGUGUAUAGACUACCGGUAGUUAAAUAGGGUCAUUAUUCGGAAUAGGUACCCCUUGCCGAGAAUAGAUGAUCUUUUUGACCAAUUGCAAGGUGUAAUGGUAGAUCUUUCAAAAGAUUGAAUCGGUUAGGGAUUGGGUUAGGCCUGGCUCUGUGACGGAGGUUAGGAGUUUUGUGGGACUCGCUAGCUAUUAUCGUCAAUUUGUUAAGAAUUUUGCUUCAAUUGCUACUCACUUGACCAAUUUGACCAAAAAGAAGAUAUCAUUUGAAUGGACUGAAAAAUGUGAGGAGAGCUUUCAAAAGCUCAAGACUCUCUUGACCACCGCGCCCAUUCUAGCAUUACCGGUGGAAGGUAAGGACUUUAUAGUUUAUUAUGAUGCUUCUCAUUCUGGAUUGGGCGCUGUGUUAAUGCAGGAUAAGAAUGUUAUAGCCUAUGCGUCGGGUCAAUUGAAAGUGCAUGAGAGAAAUUAUCCAACCCAUGAUUUGGAGUUGGCGGCGAUAGUAUUUGCUCUUAAGAUCUGGCAGCAUUAUCUUUAUGGUGUUAAGUGCGAAGUGUUUACUGAUCAUCGUAGUUUGCAGCAUGUGUUCACUCAAAAGGAUCUGAAUUUGAGACAACGAAGAUGGAUGGAGUUACUCAAGGAUUAUGAUGUGAUCAUUCAAUACCAUCCGGGUAAGGCAAAUGUUGUGGCAGACGCUUUGAGUCGAAAGGCAGUAAGUAUGGGUAGCUUAGCUUACUUGAGUGUAGCCAAGCGACCCUUGGCCGAAGAAAUUCAGACCUUAGAGUCUAAGUUCAUGCAGUUGGGCAUCUCUGAAAGAGGCGGGGUGUUAGCUAGCAUUGAAGUUAAGGCCACAUUCAUUGAGGAGAUCAAGGCCAAACAAUUUGAGAAUUAAAAUUUAAACGUACUCAAAGAGAAAAUGGCGAAUGGUAAGGCACAAGAGACCACUCUUGAUGCGGAUGGUGUACUUAGUGUUAAGGGGAGAAUUUGUGUUCCUUGAGUUGAUGACUUGAUUAAAAAAUUAUUGGCGGAAUCUCAUGGUUUGCGAUAUUCUAUUCAUCCGGAUGUGACCAAGUUGUAUAGAGAUCAGAAAUGAAUUUAUUGGUGGGCGGGCAUGAAGAAAGACAUAGUGGAGUUUGUGGCUAAGUGUCAAAAUUAUCAACAAGUGAAAUAUGAACAUCAAAGGCCUGCAGGUUUACUUCAAAGAAUGUCAAUUCCGGAGUGAAAGUGGGAAAUAAUAGCUAUGGAUUUUGUGGUUGGUCUUCCCAAAACUUUGGGGAAGUUUGAUUCUAUUUAGGUAGUGUUUGAUAGAUUGACCAAGUCAGCCCAUUUUAUUCCGGUAAGAACAGAUUAUAAUGCUGAACAAUUGGUUAAGGUGUAUGUGAAAGAGACAAUGAGGUAGCAUUUUUUGUCCCUUUCUAUCAUCUCAGAUCGUGGUACCCAAUUCACUUCCAAGUUUUAGAGGAAAUUGCAUGAUGAGUUGGGCACACAACUCACUUUUAGUACAACCUUUCAUCCACAGACGGAUGGACAAUCUGAGAGGACUAUUCAAGUAUUGAAAGACAUGUUGAUGGCAUGUGUGAUUGAUUUUGGAGGGCAUUGGGAUAAAUUCAUACCUUUGUGUGAGUUCUCCUAUAAUAAUAGUUAUCACUCCAGCAUUGAUAUGGCACCAUUUGAGGCACUAUAUGAGGAGGAACCGAUUGCUAUUCUUGAUCGUGAUGUGCGUAAGUUGAGAACCAAGGAUAUUAAGUCUGUGAAAGUUCAAUGGAAGCAUCGUCCAGUUGAGGAAGCUACUUGGGAAAUUGAGAGGGACAUGCGAGACAAGUAUCCUCAAUUAUUCGUCGAAUCAAGUACUACUUCAUUCUUUCCUUAGCCUACUUUCCCAAAGUUUAGUCACUCGGGGACGAGUGAUGCGUAAAUUGGUAUCUAUUAUAACGACCGGGUUUCGUCGUUAUAGAAAUGCCAACGAGAGAAAAAUUGGGGCCAGAAAAACUUUUUUGUAGUACUUGAAUUUUCCCAACCUUUUUCAGAUUUGGACGAAAUUGGAUUCCUUGAGGUGUGGGGAAAUCUGGUAACAAUCGGGUGGAGUAGUUAUAGUUUUGGUUGCAUGAGUGGUUAGAUAACUUGUUAAGGAAUUCGUACAACUUUACGGAAUCAAAUUCGAGAGAGUAAAACUCCCGGAAUCGAUCUUAGCGUGAGGGGUAUUUUCUGAUCGUCGUGGGUUAGAGAUGUGUAGUGAAAUGGGAUUUUGGAAUUUCUUCAGUUGACUCUCUGGUUCCGUUUGUGCCGCUUUGGCGGGAGUCUGGCCGCUCUAGCGGGGCCACUACAGCGGGAUAUGGGGCGUUGUGUCAGGUACGACAAGACUUAAAAUCGUAGAAAGGAUGGAUAGUUUACUGGCUCGAAAAUGCCGCUCUGGUAGGACUUGAUGUUGCUCUGGCGCCGCCGCUACAGCGGGAUAAGGGCCGUUGUGGCGGGCCAAACGUGACUUAAUGUCGUUAAUAAACCCCUAAACAACCUUAUUUGGCACUUUUCGACUUUUAGAGCUAAGGAACGACCCCCAGGCGAUUUCUACUCAUUUUUCAUCAUUUUUGAGGCUAAAGGUAAGCUUUUCACUCCCCGAAUCAGUUUCUCGAUACGUAGAACGUAAUAGAAUGGGUGAAUAUUGAUGGGGGAAGGUUUGUUAUAGAUUCUAUGGUGGAAACAACCCUAGUUUGGAUGUUUGGGAUAAUGGGUUUGAUCUAGGGUUCAUAGAAUUGUUAUAAUUUUGGGUAAUUAGCGAUUGCUUGUUGAUUCCCAUGUUAUUGUGAUUGUUUGUAGAUCAAGAACAAGCAANNNNNNNNNNNNNNNNNNNNNNNNNNNGGGAAGGAUCAAGUUUCUUAGGGUUUCAAGCUUGUUUCGAGGUCGGUGAUGGUUGUGAUUCUAUGAUUGUGUGAUGGUUGUUUGUUCUUGCUUCAUUAUGAUACUUGUAUAUGUAUGAAUGUUGCAAUGUUGAUCACACUUGUUGUAAAUGAGAUAGAUGAAUAUUCUUGCCAUGAAAUCAUGAUGUAAAUGUAUGAUCUUGAUGAUGUACUUGUGAUUGUGAUUGUGGUGUGUGAAUGGGAUCGGUUGCCACAUUUCGGCAUAACUAACUUGGAUCGGUUGCCACGUUCCGACUUAAAAAUGGGAUCGGUUGCCACGUUCCGGCAUACAUAUGGGAUCGGUUGCCACGUUCUGACAUGCUAACUGUUUGGGUUUGGGUUCCGUGAGAGGACCAAUGAUUUGUGAUAAAUGUAUAUUGAUGAGCAUGUUGAUAUAUGUGCGUGUGAUUGUAAUGUUGUUUGACUUGUUUAUAGUGCACUAGUUGGAUAGCCGCGUGAUCCUACCAGUACACUGUGGUUGUGUAUUGAUUCUGCACUUGCUCUUAUUUUUGUUGAGUAUAGGGCAUCUUCACGUGACUACUGAUAGACCUCGCUUAGAAGAUUAGUGAUCGUCGCUUCGAAUUCAAGGGUGAGCCAAUUCUUCCAGGCUGCCAUGGGAUUCUCUUUCGUCUAUGUCCAUCAUUUCGGACUUAGAUAUUUGUUCUAGUUAGUUGAUUAGUUCAUCAGUUUGGGGGAUUUAUCCCUUCUUGUUUAGACUUGGAUCAGUUGUUUAGAUGUUUUGGUACAUUGACUUCAGGUCCUAGGUAUUUAAUUUCCGCAUUUGUUAGUUAAUUAACUUGCUUCCAUAGCUUAAUUGUCUUAGUACUGUUUUAGUUGCUUAGUUUGGUUGUAGUAGUGGUUCUCCCACCGGAUGGUUAGUGUGGGUGCCAAUUACAACGGUCUGGGUCGUGACAGAUAUGGGGGAGAGUUCAGACAACUCCCAGCCCCCAUAAACCAUGUAGCCACCAUGGAUAGAAAAGAGUCAUACUUUUUAGAUGAUUCUUUAGUAAUUUGUAGCAUAGACUAGUGGAUCCACUUAGUAGUCAGGUUCUAUACCCCUCGGCAAGGUAUAGGACGGCCCUGGCAGCGUGAGGCAAAAUGAUGUAUCAUCACAAUAACUCUUAAGUGAUGGUUGUCGGUUAGAGAAACUCCCACAACAGUAUUUUGUAUUUUUAUAUACAUUCCAAAGUUUAUAUUGUAUCUUUGCAUACACACAGAGUUGUUAUCCAAGAAUAAUGGUGUAUAACUGUCAAAAUAAAACGAAAACAAUAUUGUGUUAUGUUCAACUUUAAAUAUAUAUCUUUUAAAUGUAGAAUUUAACAUAUAUAUAUACAACCUAAUUUUCCGAUGAAGGGUGUCCAGUUGGACACCUUUGGAUGGUUGUAGCUACACCACUGCCCAUAACAACCAUUUCAGCCACAACUACCAACACCAUCAAUCACAAUCUUCAACCCAACCACAACCAUCACUACCUUUAAUCACAAAAAUCAAUAGUCAUUACCAUUAAUCAUUAUUUGUAAUCAUCAUCACCAAUCAUUAUUACAUCAACUAUGUAACACCUCGGAUUUGACAAAGGCUAGAAAGGGGUCAAGCAGGCAAAAAGUUGACUUCAUUUACUAUUUCUACAGAUAAUAUAUGUCAUAUGUAUAAGAUCAUAGUAUAUCCAUUAUUAAUUUAUAUUUAUAUAACGAUAAAAAAUAAUUAUAAUAAAAUAAGAAAUAUUUUCAUUUUUAUUUUUUUCUGAAUUGAAGUAUUUUUUUUAUUUUUUUUAAAGAUAACAUUCUGAAUUGAUUAUUAAUCACAACAGUAAAGUAAACUCAAGUAAUCAUGCAAUAAAGUAUCACUUAACUGGGAAGAGGAAACAACCUCUUCCAGUCAGGUGGCAAUAGUUCCAAAAAGGAGUUUGCAAAACCAUACUAAAGCUUAAAUUCUAAUCGAAUUCUAGUAAUUGCAUUUCAACAAGUUCUUUCACACAUAUUCAUCGUCAUCAAAGCUAAGUUAUCUGAAAACAUGAUAGAAUUGACAGAGACUUCAGGGUCUCUACACUCAGUUCUUUGAAGCUAGUUUUUCCUUUGCCUUCUGAAUCUUCAACACCUUUUUCACAUUUUUUUGUUCUUCAACCAAGAAAGCUCGGAUGAUUCUCUCCCUUACAGCACUUCCAGAUAGCACACCUCCAUAAGCGCGGUUCACAGUCCUGCAGUUUCUUGGCAAUCUGGAUCUCUUAUAUUCAGCAGGUCUCAAAUGUGGAAUCCCUUGGAUUCUCUUCCCAGUAACUGGACAUUUAGGGCCGCUGGCUCUCUUCU